AGCAGCCGCGGUAAUUCCAGCUCCAAUAGCGUAUAUUAAAAGUUGUUGCAGUUAAAAAGUCGUAGUUGAAUUUCGGGAUUAAUUAUCGGUCGUGCUUUUGUACGUACUGGUAUUAUUGUUCCUACCUUCUGACGAACCAUGAUGUCAUUAAUUUUGGUGUCUUGGGGGAAUCAGGGAUGUUACUUUUGAAAAAAUUUAAGAGUGUUUUAAAAGGCAUGGCUCACGCUUGAAUACAUA
rnacentral:rRNA from 1 species